CCGGGCCUAGGGAGGGCGGAGGUCUGGCGGCCUUCUGGUUACCCUGGCGAUGGGCUCUUAGGUGCGGAGGAUCGGAACUAGCCGCCUUCCCCUCCGAUGCCUUAGUUUCGGGUGGUGGCCUGUGAUGGGGGCCUGAAUCCCCUCUUACCAUGUCUGGCUGGCGGCGCCCCAGAUGCCAUGUGAUGGUCAUUUGAAGACAGGCCUGUCGGACAUCAGGCAUCCCAAGGUCCAUACACUUGCCUCCAGGGACCUGGGCUUUCGGCUGUCAUACCUGGCCCUGGUUGAUGGCCCCGUGCUGAGCAGUGCAUGUGAAGACAC